AGUGGCGAACGGGUGAGUAACGCGUAGAUGAUCUACCUUUUGGUUGGGGAUAGCUCAUGGAAACAUGGGGUAAUACCGAAUGAGUUCACAGAACUAUGGUUUUGUGAGGAAAGGGGCUUCGGCCUCGCCGAGAGAUGAGUCUGCGUAUGAUUAGCUAGUUGGUGUGGUAAAGGCGCACCAAGGCGACGAUCAUUAGCCGGCCUGAGAGGGUGACCGGCCACAUUGGGACUGAGACACGGCCCAGACUCCUACGGGAGGCAGCAGCUAAGAAUCUUCCGCAAUGGGCGCAAGCCUGACGGAGCGACGCCGCGUGGGUGAAGAAGGCCGAGAGGUUGUAAAGCCCUUUUCCCGCAGAAGAAUAAUGUCUUGAGGUAAUGCGAGACAGAUGACGUUAUGCGGGGAAUAAGCACCGGCCAGUUACGUGCCAGCAGCCGCGGUAACACGUAAGGUGCGAGCGUUGUUCGGAAUUAUUGGGCGUAAAGGGCUCGUAGGUGGCCUGCCAAGUCUCACGUGAAAGACCAAGGCUCAACCUUGGGACCGCGAGAGAAACUGGCAAGCUGGAAUCUUGGAGGGGGUACUGGAAUUCCUGGUGUAGGGGUGAAAUCUGUUGAUAUCAGGAAGAACACCGGAGGCGAAGGCGAGUACCUGGCCAAAGAUUGACGCUGAUGAGCGAAAGCGUAGGGAGCGAACAGGAUUAGAUACCC
rnacentral:rRNA from 1 species